UCUAAUAUGGCAGAUUAGUGCCAUGGAUUUAAACCCCAUUCAUAAGGAAUGUCCUUUUUUAGAA
rnacentral:tRNA from 1 species